AGAUAACUUAAGAGGCAACUCUUAACUGGCCAUCUAGGGAAAAACCGAGAGGUUCAAGACUAGAGGGCAGAAAACUCUGCAAAGCAGCGCUAAACAUGCAGAGCGGCGGGUUCGGCGGUAGCGCAUACAACGACGAACCAA
rnacentral:sRNA from 10 species